CAAGGGUCUUUCUCUCCCACUUUCUUCCUCUCUCUCUCUCUCUCUCUCUCUCUCUCUCUCUGCAUUGGUAUUCUCCAGCUAAUCUUGCACAGUGGUGCCUGGUUUUGUGACAGUUUUUUAACUUUUGACCUUUUUCAUUCAGGCAUUUCGUCAUUGCUGGCCUGUGGCUCUGAACUUUAAUAUUAUGUUCUGUUUCUCUUGCCAGCUCUGUUCCCAACCUUUGUCUCUGUUCUUUGUCUAGGAAGUGUGGCCCAUCCUCAUCAUCAGGACUACUACCAAGACUAUUGUUCCUUAAAUGCCAGAAAAUCAUUUUCAGACAAGAUGGUGGUGUGUAGGUGGAAGUUUUCAUGGGAAAGCCCAUAGAGUGCUGUGUCCAGUGUUGUCUUCAGGCAGUUGGCAAAUUGCUGGCCAUAUCCCACCAAUGAACACAGAGUACAGCUCAUUGAAGAAUUCACUCACAUCCAUCUUUCCUUUUCCCCAUUCCUUCUUUGCUUUCUCAUCUGCCCACACCAAAGGCAUAGGCAAAGGGAAUGAGAGACUACACAAACAAGCCCAUUUAUUCUCAUUUUGAGGCAUUGAUUGACCCUUUUACACGGCCGCUGGACCAGACCAAUAUUUCAUAUUUCACUCUCUCCAUCAGUAUUUCUGCCUCCACUCUGCCUUAUAAGACACUUGAGCGAGAUAAAGUGGACAUGAUAAUGCAUCUGCAGUGGAACUGCUAAGUGUAUGUAGGCUAUAAGUGAGUUUGAACUUCAGGCAUCUUGCAUUAACUCAGCCCGGACGUUUAGACCAGCAGGAUGUUUUCUCUGCAUCAUUCACAAACCAGAGCUACUUAUGGGAGUUAAAAAAAGUCAAUAUUUAUAGAAAUGUGGGAAACCUCAUCUACUCACUGUCUUUACACAGGCAUAAUUCUGAUUAACAAGGUCUUAGAUGGAUGCUUUAUUGAUCCUGAAAGGGAAAUUGCUUUUUUCUUUCUUCUUCUGUUUUUUUUUUUUUAAUUUUUAUAAUUCAGCAGUGGAAUAUGGUGCAUAAAUGAAGGGCAGUACAUAAAUUAGUAGCAACCAAAUAGGAACAAAUGUUACAUGGGAAGCAGAACAUACACGAAUAAAGUUUUAAACCUGUUUGAGUGAUUUAUUGUAGACAAUUUUUUAGCAAUGAAU